rnacentral:rRNA from 1 species
AUUGAACGCUGGCGGCAGGCCUAACACAUGCAAGUCGAGCGGAUGAAGGGAGCUUGCUCCUGGAUUCAGCGGCGGACGGGUGAGUAAUGCCUAGGAAUCUGCCUGGUAGUGGGGGAUAACGUCCGGAAACGGGCGCUAAUACCGCAUACGUCCUGCGGGAGCAAGUGGGGGAUCUUCGGACCUCACGCUAUCAGAUGAGCCUAGGUCGGACUAGCUAGUUGGGGGGGUAAAGGCCUACCAAGGCGACGAUCCGUAACUGGUCUGAGAGGAUGAUCAGUCACACUGGAACUGAGACACGGUCCAGAGUCCUACGGGAGGCAGCAGUGGGGAAUAUUGGACAAUGGGCGAAAGCCUGAUCCAGCCAUGCCGAGUGUGUGAAGAAGGUCUUCGGAUUGUAAAGCACGUUAAGUUGGGAGGAAGGGCAGUAAGUUAAUACCUUGCUGGUUUGACGUUACCAACAGAAUAAGCACCGGCUAACUUCGUG